UGCUUUGUGGUCGAGUGGUAAGGACACUUGUCUCUCGCUCUGGAGUCCUAGGUUCGAUCCCUGGUUGAGGAG